rnacentral:tRNA from 1 species
UGAAGUAAAGCUUAAUUAUUAAGCGUUCCGUUUACACCGGAAAGAAUAUUGUGCAAAUCAAUAUGCUUUAA